rnacentral:rRNA from 1 species
UACAGAGGGGGCAAGCGUUGUUCGGAAUUACUGGGCGUAAAGGGCGCGUAGGCGGCCUGUUAAGUCGAACGUGAAAUCCCACGGCUCAACCGUGGAAGUGCAUUCGAAACUGCAGGGCUAGAGUCCUGGAGAGGAAGGUGGAAUGCUUGGUGUAGAGGUGAAAUUCGUAGAUAUCAAGCGGAACACCGGUGGCGAAGGCGGCCUCCUGGACCAACACUGACACUGAAAAGCGAAAGCCAGGGGAGCAAACGGG